rnacentral:rRNA from 1 species
AUUGAACGCUGGCGGCAUGCCUUACACAUGCAAGUCGAACGGUAACAGGUCUUCGGAUGCUGACGAGCGGCGAACGGGUGAGUAAUACAUCGGAACGUGCCUAGUAGUGGGGGAUAACUACUCGAAAGAGUGGCUAAUACCGCAUGAGAUCUACGGAUGAAAGCAGGGGAUCGCAAGACCUUGUGCUACUAGAGCGGCCGAUGGCAGGUUAGGUAGUUGGUGGGAUAAAAGCUUACCAAGCCGACGAUCUGUAGCUGGUCUGAGAGGACGAUCAGCCACACUGGGACUGAGACACGGCCCAGACUCCUACGGGAGGCAGCAGUGGGGAAUUUUGGACAAUGGGCGCAAGCCUGAGCCAGCAAUGCCGCGUGCAGGAUGAAGGCCUUCGGGUUGUAAACUGCUUUUGUACGGAACGAAAAGCCCCGGGUUAAUACCCUGGGGUCAUGACGGUACCGUAAGAAUAAGCACCGGCUAACUACGUGCCAGCCGCCGCCGUAA